UACGGAGGGGGCUAGCGUUGUUCGGAAUUACUGGGCGUAAAGCGCACGUAGGCGGCUUUGUAAGUUAGAGGUGAAAGCCCGGGGCUCAACUCCGGAACUGCCUUUAAGACUGCAUCGCUAGAAUUGUGGAGAGGUAAGUGGAAUUCCGAGUGUAGAGGUGGAAUUCGUAGAUAUUCGGAAGAACACCAGUGGCGAAGGCGACUUACUGGACACAUAUUGACGCUGAGGUGCGAAAGCGUGGGGAGCAAACAGG
rnacentral:rRNA from 1 species